rnacentral:sRNA from 1 species
AAAGGAAUAGCAAGCCAAGACAUUUUGAUGUAGGCCAACAAGUAAUACGUAGGAAUUUCACACAAAGUUCGAAGGGGAAUAAGUACAGUGCAAAGUUAGCUCCAGUUGGAGUAAGAUCGGAGGUGGUACGUAAGGUGGGAAAUGUGAGUUACGAGUUAAAGGAUUUGGAAGGAGGAAAGCUAGGGAUAUAUCAUUUAAAGGAUAUAUGGUCUUAGUUUAUUAUUAUUGUUUUUUUUUUUAAGCAUGGUGUGAUUUGUAACUACUUUUCCAUGGUGAAGAAUUUUUAACUACCCCAAUAAUAAUGUACUUGCACUUAUUGUACUUGAAGAAACAUAGAAGCCUUUUGGACUCAUUUAUUUACGAAGAAACAUAGAAGCCUUUUGGAAUAUUCAGUUUGUAAUAUUUUGUUGUCAGUUUAGAAAAUUUUCAUUCUCAUUUUGAAACUUGAACAUCUAAGUUGUGUUUUAAUUAUUUCGGAGAAAUUUUGUGCACAUUUUUCUUUUAUUAAUUUGAAUAUUGAACGGACUGUUUUGAUUGAAUUAUUAAAAAACGCGAUUCAUAUUUUGCUGUCCAGAUAAUAAAAUUCAAAAGAAGGUCAAAAUUUCGCUAUGCAUCAUAAAUUAUUUUCUCGCUAAUUUUUCUUUACCCGUUUCAAUUUUGUGGAAUCCAUUGAUUUGGUCAAUUUUAGUGGUCGAAAGUCGCUACCCGGAGUUUUUACUCCGGGAUUAUUGCUUUCUAUAUAUUGCCGAAAUGGAAUCUUAAAUUUCACGCCAGACUAAACAUUUAUGGACCACAUCUUUCAUUAAUUAAAAUAUUAGCCAGAUUCUCGUUCUUUUAUAUAUCUGGAUGGGUUUCAAGACAUAAAAUCUAUCAUGGAUGUUUAUCGCUAAUAUGACCUAAACACAUUUUGGACAAAAAUCGUAUAAGUUCCCGUUUAAAACCAUUGAGACGUUGUUUGCUGCCGUAAAUCUGGCUUAGAUUAAGCUUUAGUUAAAUAUAGUCAUAAUUUU